rnacentral:ncRNA from 2 species
UGACCCCGUGCGGGAGAGUCCUCCAGACAUCAUCGGAGGCGCCGAAGGAGCAAAUCCUCCCCGGAAUCUCUCAGGCCCACGUACCGCACGGACGAG